CCCCCCUUAAGGACCCCUAUAAGGAUAUGGGAUUGGGACCGCCCCCAAUAGGGUCACAGCAAUGGGGACCCCUAUAGGGACCCCUAUAAGGAUAUGGGAUUGGGACCCCCCCUUAAAAACCCCCAUAGGGAUAUGGGGUUGGGACCCCCCCUUUAGAGACCCUCAUUGGGACCACCCCAUAAUUUCACCCCUAUAGGAACACAGGGAUCUGACCCCCCCCAAUAGGAUCACAGGAAUGGGGACCCCCCCCUUAAGGACCCCUAUAAGGAUAUGGGAUUGGGACCCCCCCCCCAUAGGAUCACAGCAAUGGGGACCCCUAUAGGGACCCCUAUAAGGAUAUGGGGUUGGGACCCCCCCUUAAAGCCCCCAUAGGGAGAUGGAGGUGUGGACCCCCCCCCAUAAUUGGACCCCUAUAGGGACCCCAUUGAGUCCCACCCCCCCCUUACAAUCCCAUAUAGAGAUAUGGGGUUGCAGCCCCCCCCAUAGGGACCCCCAUAGGGCCGUGGGGGGGGGUGAGGACCCCCCCCAAAUGGGGUCUGUGGGGUGGGGGCUCACAGCUCUGCUUUCUCUUUGUAGGGUCUGCCAAUGGACGGCAACGAAGACGAGAGGUGUGGGGCUGCCCCAUAGCGAUGUGUGGCACUGCCCCAUAGGGUGCUCUGCCCCAUAGCGAUGUGUGGGGCUGCCCCAUAGCGUGCUGUGCUCCACAGCGACAUGUGGGGCUGCCCCAUAGAGUGCCCCAUAGCGACGUGUGGGACUGCCCCAUGGAGUGCUCUGCCCCAUAGCGACGUGUGGGGCUGCCCCAUAGCGUGCCCUGCCCCAUAGCGAUGUGCGGGGCUGCCCCAUAGAGUGCCCCAUAGAGCGCUGUGCCCCAUAGCGAUGUGUGGGACUGCCCCAUGGAGUGCUCUGCCCCAUAGCGACGUGUGGGACUGCCCCAUGGAGUGCUCUGCCCCAUAGCGACGUGUGGGACUGCCCCAUGGAGUGCUCUGCCCCAUAGCGACGUGUGGGGCUGCCCCAUAGCGUGCUCUGCCCCAUAGCGACGUGUGGGGCUGCCCCAUAGCGUGCUCUGCCCCAUAGUGACGUGUGGGGCUGCCCCAUAGAGUGCUGUGCCCCAAAGCGAUGUGUGGGGCUGCCCCAUAGGGUGCUGUGCCCUAUAGAGAUGUGUGGGGCUGCCCCAUAGAGCACUGUGCCCCAUACGCCCCACAACAUUCAAUGGAUCCCCAAAUAAAGGCGUUUCUCCCC
rnacentral:lncRNA from 1 species